GGUUCGGGAUAGUGGGUACGUAAGAAAAAAGUGUUAGGCACCCCUUACACCUAUUCUAAUCUCGUUAAUUCGAAUGCUAGUCCUCUACUAAUGUUUUUAGAAGUCUUGUUUAUCAUUCCUAUAUUUAAACUUUAUCCUAAAAAUGCAAUUCUAAUCCUAUACACGCAAGUAAUUCACAAAAGGGUUGUUGUUUACAAACAAUUUUCAUGCACAAGUAAUUUCUAUCUAUGGGCUUGCUAAUUAUGUAAAUGAUAUUUACUAGAUGACUAAAAUUAAUUCAUUAUUGAGAAUUUAAUUUACAAAUAAAUUCAAUUUUAAAUAACCCUACGUUUCUAUUUGACCUAAUUAAUUAAUUUUCACCAAAUUACCCUA
rnacentral:misc_RNA from 1 species